AUUGAACGCUGGCGGCAGGCCUAACACAUGCAAGUCGAACGGUAGCACAGAGAGCUUGCUCUCGGGUGACGAGUGGCGGACGGGUGAGUAAUGUCUGGGAAACUGCCCGAUGGAGGGGGAUAACUACUGGAAACGGUAGCUAAUACCGCAUAACGUCGCAAGACCAAAGUGGGGGACCUUCGGGCCUCACACCAUCGGAUGUGCCCAGAUGGGAUUAGCUAGUAGGUGGGGUAAUGGCUCACCUAGGCGACGAUCCCUAGCUGGUCUGAGAGGAUGACCAGCCACACUGGGACUGAGACACGGUCCAGACUCCUACGGGAGGCAGCAGUGGGGAAUAUUGCACAAUGGGCGCAAGCCUGAUGCAGCCAUGCCGCGUGUAUGAAGAAGGCCUUCGGGUUGUAAAGUACUUUCAGCGGGGAGGAAGGUGUUGAGGUUAAUAACCUCAGCAAUUGACGUUACCCGCAGAAGAAGCACCGGCUAACUCCGUGCCAGCCGCCGCAGUAA
rnacentral:rRNA from 1 species